UACGUAGGGUGCAAGCGUUGUCCGGAAUUAUUGGGCGUAAAGAGCUCGUAGGCGGUUUGUCGCGUCUGCUGUGAAAAUCCAGGGCUUAACCCUGGACCUGCAGUGGGUACGGGCAGACUGGAGUUCGGAAGAGGGUCGUGGAAUUCCCAGUGUAGAGGUGAAAUUCGUAGAUAUUGGGAAGAACACCGGUGGCGAAGGCGGCGACCUGGUCCGAUACUGACGCUGAGGCGCGAAAGCGUGGGGAGCAAACAGG
rnacentral:rRNA from 1 species